CCAGACUCCUACGGGAGGCAGCAGUGAGGAAUAUUGGUCAAUGGGCGCAAGCCUGAACCAGCCAAGUCGCGUGAGGGAAGACGGUGCUAUGGAUUGUAAACCUCUUUUGUCGGGGAGCAAAGCGCGGUACGAGUACCGCGAAGGAGAGCACCCGAAGAAAAAGCAUCGGCUAACUCCGUGCCAGCAGCCGCGGUAAUACGGGGGAUGCAAGCGUUAUCCGGAUUUAUUGGGUUUAAAGGGUGCGUAGGCUGUGAGGUAAGUCAGCGGUGAAAUGCCCCCGCUCAACGGGGUGAAGUGCCAUUGAUACUGCCUUGCUGGAAUGCGGAUGCCGUGGGAGGAAUGUGUGGUGUAGCGGUGAAAUGCAUAGAUAUCACACAGAACACCGAUUGCGAAGGCAUCUCACGAAUCCGCGAUUGACGCUGAUGCACGAAAGCGUGGGUAUCAAACAGGAUUAGAUACCCCAGUA
rnacentral:rRNA from 1 species